UCUUUACUUCUUCCCUUCCCCAUUUUUCAUUUAAUCCCCACAAGUAGUCACAUUAAAUAAGAUAAUGAUGAAAUUAGUUUAAUUACUAACUGAACUUAGGCAGUAUUUGACAGUGACCUAUCAUAAAUAUGGUAAACAUAAUAUAGUUGUGAAUUCUUGUAUAGUGUUCGGGUUUCGAUAAUGUGCAGAAAAGGGACAAUUUAGUCAGAGAUACCAAUGUCGUGAAUAGAUUAAACACUUGUUGAAUUCCAGCCUCUGGUGCACAACCAAUUGGAAACAAUCUAAUUCUUGAUUUUAAUCAAAUUAUUAUGAUUACAAUUUAAUUGCCAUAUUUUAAGGAAAGUUUUAUAUACCCACAAUACUUGAAACGUUAACUAUUGGAAACAUUUUUAUAAGAAUUACUUGUUCUUCGGUGGAAUUGCUCAUGAACAAAAAUGAAAUAAAAAAUUCUGUAUCAUCUGUCUUCACAGAAGUUCCUGGGUUUGCCCUAAGUCUUUGUCUGUUCCUGUAUUGUGUUUCUAAACUUAGUCUCCAUUUGUAUCCCAGAAGGCAUCGACAUGACGACUUGUAAUCUCUGAUUAUUUCUUACAGAUCAGUCAUUUCUCUUCUGUCCAUAUCCUACAUUUUGUGUAUCGUGAUCAUGACUGUCGGUUCCACAUGUUCAUCGAUGAUCGCUUGCACCACCCCUUCAUCCCUUUGAUCACUCCACUGUGCAGUUCGAAUGUAGACUAAUGAGUUUCCGGCUUCCUCCAGCUGAAGCAUUGGGGAAGACUGAAGCUGCCCCUGUCAACCAAUGUGCCUUUCUUUUAAAAAAAUCUAUUAACUUUGUUCAUUACCGUAUGUAAAAAAAAAAAAUAACCUCCAAUUCAAUCUUGCAAUGAAUUUCUAAAUCUAUUUUUAUUUUAGCUCAUCACUUCACAAAUAACCUUUUCCGUUCUUCGCGUGUUCUUUGAGCUGUGUUCAUACCUCUUUUACUCAGAUCCGCAUUAUCAUCUGACAUUUUCCUACAACCAAGGAGCUAGCCACCACUUUGGAUUGGCGUAUUUGUUUAUGCUAUGAUCUUGUAAGUGAAGUUCAUGCAAACGUGCAGUACUGAAAGGUCUACAGUACGUUUAAUUAAUUGAACUGUGGCGGUAUUUGAGUUACCAGUCAGAUUAUUUUGCAAACUCGUGUCUAAAUUCUGGUUUGAUGGCAUUUACAGUAUAUUGGAUGAUGUUCCGCUUCAUACUUUCGUUAUUGGGUUAUACAAUCUGCCAAUCAUCCUAGUCAUUUUCAUCUCAGCCAAUUGAAUAGCAAACCGGCCCUUUAUUUCCCAAGGGGGCGGUUCUUGACUGGAAAUCAGGCAUUUUGCUGAAAAGUUAUAAUAGAAAAUUGCAAAGGGGGAAAGAAAAGUCGGGGUGAACGCGCGUAAUAAUGCUUCUCCUCUUGAGUGUCAUAGCAAUGAUUUGGAGAUUAAAUUUGAAUUCUGGGAGAUUCCGUGGCCAACGUGGAUCCUUGCCUAAAGAAUCGAAUGGAUAUACAUAGGAAAAACAUGGUUUUGUGGACGCAGUGGAGAGAGCAUGUACUGCAUAUCCGUAUCGAUGUCAUAGUUCGAUUUCUGCAGUUUGGAGAAGGGGCGACUCAAUCAUUGUUCAUCAUGGUCAACAGGCUGUUACAACUUAACAAACAAAUUGGACGAUAGAUUUUUAAGUAAUUAUAUAAAAUAAGGAAAACCUUCCACUUUGGGUUCAAGUUUGAAGGUGGUAAUACUGUACUAAGCAGAUUCAUACAAAAUCGCCUCCGUUAUGCUGUUAGUUUGUUUAUAAAGUCCAUUCAACUCAGUUGUGCCUUGGAUCUUAAAUCUAAGAAAUACAUACUUCGCCAUUAAUAAGUAAUAUUUGUUGCAUCCGGAGUCGGGAAAAAAACCCAAGUUUUCCAGGCAGUUAAAUCUUGCAAUAAGCAACACCAAAAGGAGUGUCUCUUCCUAACUCCUUUGAGACAGACGAGACCACAGGCAACAAACACCGACAGGAAAUGGCUUUCGUAACAAGGUUCCAGACCAACAUGGGCAUUUAAUGUUUGAAUUGCUGCACAUUGACUGUCAAAGACAUCAUGAGUGUACAAAACAUUU